rnacentral:rRNA from 1 species
GAUGAACGCUAGCGAUAGGCCUAACACAUGCAAGUCGAGGGGCAUCACAUGAAGUAGCAAUACGGAUGGUGGCGACCGGCGCACGGGUGAGUAACACGUAUGCAACCUGCCUUCAACAAGGGGAUAACCCGUUGAAAGACGGACUAAUACCCUAUAACACAGGGGUCCCGCAUGGGAAUAUUUGUUAAAGGACAACCGGUUGAAGAUGGGCAUGCGUUCCAUUAGCUAGUUGGCGGGGUAACGGCCCACCAAGGCAACGAUGCGUAGCUGAGCUGAGAGGCUAAACAGCCACACUGGGACUGAGACACGGCCCAGACUCCUACGGGAGGCAGCAGUAGGGAAUUUUCGGCAAUGGGGGAAACCCUGACCGAGCAAUGCCGCGUGAACGAUGAAGGUCUUCGGGUUGUAAAGCUCUUUCGGACGGAAAGAAAUCGCCGCCUCUAACACAGGCGGUGGAUGACGGUACCGUAAGAAGAAGCACCGGCUAACUACGUGCCAGCAGCCGCGGUAAUUACG